rnacentral:rRNA from 1 species
UGGGGAAUUUUGGACAAUGGGGGAAACCCUGAUCCAGCCAUCCCGCGUGUGCGAUGAAGGCCUUCGGGUUGUAAAGCACUUUUGGCAGGAAAGAAACGUCAUGGGUUAAUACCCCGUGAAACUGACGGUACCUGCAGAAUAAGCACCGGCUAACUACGUGCCAGCAGCCGCGGUAAUACGUAGGGUGCAAGCGUUAAUCGGAAUUACUGGGCGUAAAGCGUGCGCAGGCGGUUCGGAAAGAAAGAUGUGAAAUCCCAGAGCUCAACUUUGGAACUGCAUUAUUAACUACCGGGCUAGAGGGUGUCAGAGGGAGGUGGAAUUCCGCGUGUAGCAGUGAAAUGCGUAGAUAUGCGGAGGAACACCGAUGGAGAAGGCAGCCUCCUGGGAUAACACUGACGCUCAUGCACGAAAGCGUGGGGAGCAAACAGG